UACGAAGGGGGCUAGCGUUGCUCGGAAGCACUGGGCGUAAAGGGGGCGUAGGCGGGUCUUUAAGUCAGGGGGGAAAUCCUGGAGCUCAACUCCAGAACUGCCUUUGAUACUGAAGAUCUUGAGUUCGGGAGAGGUGAGUGGAACUGCGAGUGUAGAGGUGAAAUUCGUAGAUAUUCGCAAGAACACCAGUGGCGAAGGCGGCUCACUGGCCCGAUACUGACGCUGAGGCACGAAAGCGUGGGGAGCAAACAGG
rnacentral:rRNA from 1 species